CCUACGGGGGGCAGCAGUGAGGAAUAUUGGUCAAUGGACGCAAGUCUGAACCAGCCAUGCCGCGUGCAUGAAGACGGCUCUAUGAGUUGUAAACUGCUUUUGUACGGGGGCAAAUGCAGAUACGCGUAUCUGUCUGAAAGUCUCGUACGAAUAAGGAUCGGCUAACCCCGUGCCAGCAGCCGCGGUAAUACGGAUGAUUCAAGCGUUAUCCGGGUUUAUUGGGUUUAAAGGGUGCGUAGGCGGUCGGAUAAGUUAGAGGUGAAAUCCCGAGGGUCAACUUCGGAAUUGCCUCUGAUAAUGUUCGGCUAGAGAGUAGGUGCGGUAGGCGGAAUGUAUGGUGUAGCGGUGAAAUGCUUAGAGAUCAUACAGGACACCGAUUGCGAAGGCAGCUUACCAAGCUACUUCUGACGUUGGGGCACGAAAGCGUGGGGAGCAAACAGGAUUAGAUACCCUCUGUAGUC
rnacentral:rRNA from 1 species